ACCCAAGCUGAUUCCCUCUCCAGGGGGCUUGCUUGUGCCCCCCUCAGGAAAGUAGCAACUUGGAAUAAAAUCUGACAUGCCUCAGGGUGCUGGGAAGAGGGGCUGCUGUUUCCUUUGCCUUCCCUUUGGCUGCCUACACAC
ensembl:snoRNA